rnacentral:rRNA from 1 species
UACGGGGGGGGCAAGCGUUGUUCGGAAUUACUGGGCGUAAAGGGCUCGUAGGUGGCCAACUAAGUCAGACGUGAAAUCCCUCGGCUUAACCGGGGAACUGCGUCUGAUACUGGAUGGCUUGAGUUCGGGAGAGGGAUGCGGAAUUCCAGGUGUAGCGGUGAAAUGCGUAGAUAUCUGGAGGAACACCGGUGGCGAAGGCGGCAUCCUGGACCAUUACUGACACUGAAAAGCGAAAGCCAGGGGAGCAAACGGG